CCUACGGGAGGCAGCAGUGGGGAAUCUUGUGCAAUGGGCGAAAGCCUGACACAGCAACGCCGCGUGCGGGAAGAAGGCCUUCGGGUCGUAAACCGCUUUCAGCAGGAACGAAAAUGACGGUACCUGCAGAAGAAGGUGCGGCCAACUACGUGCCAGCAGCCGCGGUGACACGUAGGCACCAAGCGUUGUCCGGAUUUAUUGGGCGUAAAGAGCUCGUAGGCGGUUCAGCAAGUCGGGUGUGAAAACUCUGGGCUUAACCCAGAGCCUGCACCCGAAACUGCUGUGACUAGAGUUCGGUAGGGGAGCGGGGAAUUCCUGGUGUAGCGGUGAAAUGCGCAGAUAUCAGGAGGAACACCGGUGGCGAAGGCGCCGCUCUGGGCCGAAACUGACGCUGAGGAGCGAAAGCGUGGGUAGCAAACAGGACUAGAUACCCUGGUAGUCCACGCCGUAAACGUUGGGCACUAGGUGUGGGUCUCUAACCAACGAGAUCCGCGCCGUCGCUAACGCAUUAAGUGCCCCGCCUGGGGAGUACGGUCGCAAGACUAAAACUCAAAGGAAUUGACGG
rnacentral:rRNA from 1 species